GUGAUGUUCAGUAGCAAUCUUCCUCACUUUCUCUUCAUGUUUUUUAAAAAGAUCCAGAAUGGCACUUUUCCUCUUCAUGUUCUACUUUGCAACUGCAAGUCUGCAAUUAUAUCCAAUGUGAAUGUGUGAUUAUAUCUUCACAGAGGCUGCAAUGAGAAAUCCUACAGCCAGAGAAAAAAAUGAAAGACCUAAAAAUCUGUUACCCAGUGUGCUUACCAGACAGAGGAGGGGAUCUACUACCG
rnacentral:lncRNA from 1 species